GCUUAUGGCCAUACCACCCUGAGCACGCCCGAUCUCGUCUGAUCUCGGAAGCUCAGCAGGGUUGGGCCUGGUUAGUACUUGGAUGGGAGACUGCCUAGGAAUACCAGGUGCUGUAAGCU
rnacentral:rRNA from 1 species